GUCCGAGAAAGAAAAUGAAAUAAAAGGUGAAUUUUUAGCAUCUAAAGAUAGGGCGGGGGGGAGCAAGAUUUGGUCUUUGCUUGAAGUCUCUGGACUCAUCCAAAUUGGCCAACUAAAUCAUUCCAUUCUCAUUUGUAAGCCAAAAACCCUAACUCCGCCGCUGGUCAUCGAUGUCGCACUUCGGGAGAUCUGGUCCACCGGACAUCAGAGACACCUAUUCCCUUCUCGUCCUCAACAUUACUUUCCGAACUACCGCAGACGAUCUUUUCCCGCUCUUCGACCGCUACGGUAAGGUCGUCGACGUCUUUAUCCCCAGAGACCGAAGGACUGGGGAGUCGCGCGGGUUCGCGUUUGUUCGGUACAAGUAUGCGGAUGAGGCUCAGAAAGCCGUGGAGAAGCUUGAUGGAAGAGUUGUAGAUGGUAGAGAGAUUAUGGUUCAAUUUGCCAAGUAUGGCCCCAAUGCUGAAAGAAUUCAUAAGGGGAGGAUAAUUGAAUCGGAAUCAAAGCUUGGAAGCAGGUCAAGAAGCCGUAGCCCUCGCCCAAGGCAUCGUGAUGAGAAUCGGGAUAGGGAUAGGGACAGGAGGAGAAGCCGCAGUCGAAGUAGGGAUAGAUAUGACCGGGACAGACACCAUAAGGAACACCGUCAUCGUAGCAGGAGCCGUAGUGCUAGUCCAGAUCAUCACAAAGAUCGCGGGAGGUCCAAAUAUGAUGAUGAACAUCACAGUCGGAGCCGUUCCUAUGGGAGUACCUCCCCUGCUCGGCGUAGUCAUAGUCCUAAAUCUCGCAGGAGCCCAUCUCCUCGUAGGACACCUUCAAGAGGUGAAAACCCUGAAAUACGCGACCUUAAUGAACACUCUCCUGCUUCAAAAGAUGCUUCCCCACGUGGUAGAUCAGUUGAUUCUCAAAGCCCUUCUCCUUGUAGAUCUGACGCAGAUGAUUGAUGGAGAGCAGCAUAUCAAGUUAUGAGCUUAUUAUCUAGGCUUGACACAUUGUGUCUGCGUUCGUAUUGGGGAGAAAUAGUUGAGUUGCAUGUUAUUGCCAUAUCAAAUGUUAUUUGACUGCCCUGCAGUUUUUCGAAGUUUUGUUCGAGCAGAGCGAAUGUGACUGAAUCACAAGAUGAUGUACUUGCUGUUGGUGCUGUUUAUACUGGUUGUACAGAUGGUAGAUGUCAAUUUGUUUGCUGGUUGCAGUCUACAAUAUCUUACCAAUCUAUCUUGAUGAUGAUAUUCUGGUUGUUUGGUCCUGCAAAGGCGUUCCUGGUUGCUGUGGUUGCCUAAAGGCGGUCAGAAUUCAAAUGCCAAUAAAUGUAGCUGAUGCGGUUUAUAUGAAACAAAUAUGUUGGGGGUUGUCAGCUAGCUGUUGGUGGCUAUAUCUUUAUAAAGACUGACCUAUAUGCUUGAGUGAGUAGUCACAGUAUUGGUGUAGAUAUUUUCAUUCAGUGACGACUUUUAGUUAAAUGAGAUAUAGAUUUUUCUUCUGCUCUUUUACAUUAUAAUGGUAGAUGGCUGGUGACCAUGUAAAUAAAUAGAUUUGAAUGCCUGCAAUUUUUUCAUUGUUUCUAGUUUCCUUCAAUUGUUGAUUAGUAAACUUUGUUAACAUAAUGAUGAUAACAGCAUGCACAGGAAGAAGUGCCUUUGUUUUGUCUUGUUGUGAAUUAUGUUAGCGUCGUCUCUCCGAAUAUGGAUUCUGUUUAAAUAUUUUCUAUAGAAUGGGAGGGUUAUUCUUGUUCUAUUAUAA